CCUACGGGAGGCAGCAGUGAGGAAUAUUGGUCAAUGGACGCAAGUCUGAACCAGCCAUGCCGCGUGCAGGAAGACGGCCCUAUGAGUUGUAAACUGCUUUUGUACGAGGGUAAACGCAGAUACGCGUAUCUGUCUGAAAGUAUCGUACGAAUAAGGAUCGGCUAACUCCGUGCCAGCAGCCGCGGUAAUACGGAGGAUUCAAGCGUUAUCCGGAUUUAUUGGGUUUAAAGGGUGCGUAGGCGGUCUGAUAAGUUAGGGGUGAAAUCCCGAGGCUCAACUUCGGAAUUGCCUCUGAUACUGUUCGGCUAGAGAGUAGUUGCGGUAGGCGGAAUGUGUGGUGUAGCGGUGAAAUGCUUAGAGAUCAUACAGAACACCGAUUGCGAAGGCAGCUUACCAGGCUACUUCUGACGUUGAGGCACGAAAGCGUGGGGAGCGAACAGGAUUAGAUACCCCUGUAGUC
rnacentral:rRNA from 1 species